rnacentral:rRNA from 1 species
CCUACGGGAGGCAGCAGUGAGGAAUAUUGGUCAAUGGGCGUAAGCCUGAACCAGCCAAGUCGCGUGAGGGAUGAAGGUUCUAUGGAUCGUAAACCUCUUUUAUAAGGGAAUAAAGUGCGGGACGUGUCCCGUGUUGUAUGUACCUUAUGAAUAAGGAUCGGCUAACUCCGUGCCAGCAGCCGCGGUAAUACGGAGGAUCCGAGCGUUAUCCGGAUUUAUUGGGUUUAAAGGGUGCGUAGGCGGCCUUUUAAGUCAGCGGUGAAAGUCUGUGGCUCAACCAUAGCAUUGCCGUUGAAACUGGGAGGCUGAAGUAUAUUUGAGGCAGGAGGAAUGCGUGGUGUAGCGGUGAAAGGCUUAGAUAUCACGCAGAACCCCGAUUGCGAAGGCAGCCUGACAAGCCAUGACUGACGCUGAUGCACGAAAGCGUGGGGAUCAAACAGGAUUAGAUACCCCUGUAGUC